GAUGAACGCUGGCGGCGUGCUUAACACAUGCAAGUCGAACGGAAAGGCCCUGCUUUUGUGGGGUGCUCGAGUGGCGAACGGGUGAGUAACACGUGAGUAACCUGCCCUUGACUUUGGGAUAACUUCAGGAAACUGGGGCUAAUACCGGAUAGGAGCUCCUACUGCAUGGUGGGGGUUGGAAAGUUUCGGCGGUUGGGGAUGGACUCGCGGCUUAUCAGCUUGUUGGUGGGGUAGUGGCUUACCAAGGCUUUGACGGGUAGCCGGCCUGAGAGGGUGACCGGCCACAUUGGGACUGAGAUACGGCCCAGACUCCUACGGGAGGCAGCAGUGGGGAAUAUUGCACAAUGGGCGGAAGCCUGAUGCAGCAACGCCGCGUGCGGGAUGACGGCCUUCGGGUUGUAAACCGCUUUCGCCUGUGACGAAGCGUGAGUGACGGUAAUGGGUAAAGAAGCACCGGCUAACUACGUG
rnacentral:rRNA from 1 species